UCACGGAUGCUUAGUACGGCGAGUGAAGCGGCAAAAGCUCAAAUUUGAAAUCUGGUACCUUCGGUGCCCGAGUUGUAAUUUGGAGAGGGCAACUUUGGGGCCGUUCCUUGUCUAUGUUCCUUGGAACAGGACGUCAUAGAGGGUGAGAAUCCCGUGUGGCGAGGAGUGCGGUUCUUUGUAAAGUGCCUUCGAAGAGUCGAGUUGUUUGGGAAUGCAGCUCUAAGUGGGUGGUAAAUUCCAUCUAAAGCUAAAUAUUGGCGAGAGACCGAUAGCGAACAAGUACAGUGAUGGAAAGAUGAAAAGAACUUUGAAAAGAGAGUGAAAAAGUACGUGAAAUUGUUGAAAGGGAAGGGCAUUUGAUCAGACAUGGUGUUUUGUGCCCUCUGCUCCUUGUGGGUAGGGGAAUCUCGCAUUUCACUGGGCCAGCAUCAGUUUUGGUGGCAGGAUAAAUCCAUAGGAAUGUAGCUUGCCUCGGUAAGUAUUAUAGCCUGUGGGAAUACUGCCAGCUGGGACUGAGGACUGCGACGUAAGUCAAGGAUGCUGGCAUAAUGGUUAUAUGCCGCCCGU
rnacentral:rRNA from 1 species